rnacentral:misc_RNA from 1 species
UGUUGCAUGAUUCUGGGUUUGUUCCAGGUAGAAAGGGGAGGGAGAUAAUUGAGUUCCCUCCUGCAAAUCAUCUUAAAGCCCAAGGUGGGGUUGCAGAGGAUAGGCUCACUGUGGAUCGAGGUUGUCGCGGAACAGACUUUAGUGGUGUUAGUUUGAGGCAGUGGCUGGACAACCCAGAGAGAGCUGUUGAUGCUCUUGAAUGUCUGCACAUAUUCACCCAAAUUGUGGAGAUUGUAAACCUGGCACAUUCACAGGGAAUAGUUGUUCAUAAUGCACGACCAUCAUGUUUUGUCAUGUCCUCUUUCAAACGUAUUGCAUUCAUCGAAUCCGUAUCCUGCUCGGAUUCAGGUUCAGAUUCAUCAGAUGAUGGUUUAAACAGCCAAACUGUCGAGUUAAAGGAUUCAUCUUCAGUUUUG